rnacentral:rRNA from 1 species
CAGCAGCCGCCGCGGUAAUACGAAGGGUGCAAGCGUUACUCGGAAUUACUGGGCGUAAAGCGUGCGUAGGUGGUGGUUUAAGUCCGUUGUGAAAGCCCUGGGCUCAACCUGGGAAUUGCAGUGGAUACUGGGUCACUAGAGUGUGGUAGAGGAUAGUGGAAUUUCCGGUGUAGCAGUGAAAUGCGUAGAUAUGCGGAGGAACACCGAUGGCGAAGGCAGCCCCCUGGGCCAACACUGACGCUCAUGCACGAAAGCGUGGGGAGCAAACAGGAUUAGAUACCCCAGUAGUCCCUGUCUCUUAUAC